rnacentral:rRNA from 1 species
UACCAAGGAGAGUUUGAUUCUGGCUCAGGAUGAACGCUAGCGGCAGGCUUAACACAUGCAAGUCGAGGGGUAUAGGUAGCUUGCUACCUAGAGACCGGCAAACGGGUGCGGAACACGUACACAAUCUGCCCUUAUCUUGGGGAUAGCCUUCUGAAAAGGAGAUUAAUACCCAAUAGUAUAUUUGAGUGGCAUCACUUAGAUAUUAAAGAAUUUCGGAUAGGGAUGAGUGUGCGUAAGAUUAGAUAGUUGGUGAGGUAACGGCUCACCAAGUCUACGAUCUUUAGCUGAUGUGAGAGCAUGAUCAGCCACACGGGCACUGAGACACGGGCCCGACUCCUACGGGAGGCAGCAGUGAGGAAUAUUGGUCAAUGGACGGAAGUCUGAAC